GAUGAACGCUGGCGGCGUGCCUAAUACAUGCAAGUCGAGCGAACGGACGAGAAGCUUGCUUCUCUGAUGUUAGCGGCGGACGGGUGAGUAACACGUGGAUAACCUACCUAUAAGACUGGGAUAACUUCGGGAAACCGGAGCUAAUACCGGAUAAUAUUUUGAACCGCAUGGUUCAAUAGUGAAAGACGGUUUUGCUGUCACUUAUAGAUGGAUCCGCGCUGCAUUAGCUAGUUGGUAAGGUAACGGCUUACCAAGGCAACGAUGCAUAGCAGACCUGAGAGGGUGAUCGGCCACACUGGAACUGAGACACGGUCCAGACUCCUACGGGAGGCAGCAGUAGGGAAUCUUCCGCAAUGGGCGAAAGCCUGACGGAGCAACGCCGCGUGAGUGAUGAAGGUCUUCGGAUCGUAAAACUCUGUUAUUAGGGAAGAACAUAUGUGUAAGUAACUAUGCACAUCUUGACGGUACCUAAUCAGAAAGCCACGGCUAACUACGUG
rnacentral:rRNA from 1 species